rnacentral:rRNA from 1 species
AUUGAACGCUGGCGGCAGGCUUAACACAUGCAAGUCGAGCGAGUGGCGGACGGGCGAGUAAUGUCUGGGACACUGCCUGAUGGCGGGGGAUAACUACUGGAAACGGUAGCUAAUACCGCAUACCUUCCGAUGUGCCCAGGUGGGAUUAGCCAGUAGGUGGGGUAAUGGCUCACGUAGUCGACGAUCCCCAGCUGGUCUGAGAGGAUGACCGGCCACACUGGAACUGAGACACGGUCCAGACGCCUACGGGAGGCAGCAGUGGGGAAUAUUGCGCAAUGGGCGCAAGCCUGAUGGAGCCAUGCCGCGUGUGUGAAGAAGGCCUUCGGGUUGUAAAGCACUUUCAGCGAGGAGGCGUUACUCGCAGAAGAAGCACCGGCUAACUCCGUGCCAGCAGCCGCGGUAAUAC